GUCUGUCCUAAGACUGGAACAAUGUCCAGAGUGUGUCCCUGUCUUCUGCGUGAUGCAUCUUCAGAUAUGCUGAUGAUGCCUGUGAGCCUGAACAGGGAUAACAGGGGAGACAAAGCAGCUGAAUCACAGCUCGUGCCUUUGAGGAACCUGCACAAAGACGAUGCCAAUGAAAAAGCACUGACAGAUGAUGGGAAUAAUUCUUCACCACUUAAAGCAUAAAAGUACUGAAGAUCAUUUAAUCCAAGUAGUAGUAUUUCCUCGCAAGAAGCAGUAAUCAUUUAUAGCGGUGGCCUAUUUUUCUGCUCUGAAUCUUUUUGAAGGUUUGACAUCUGCCCCGUGUUUGGAGCUAUUUAAUUAUUGUGCUGAGGAACAUAUCGACUGUAAUCAAAUAUCCUCAGGUGUUGUUUAAAUUCCUUUAAUGUUGAAAGUGUCUUUCAUCAGGACGUUCAUUCAGGAAUGCUCCAUAUCUUGCUUGGUUACUGGAUAUGUGACAGACAGUCUGAGGUAAACAGAGUCUGGUUUGUGAACAGACCACAGACUGAAAAUAAAGAUGGACGACGCGUCUCCACUUCCUCCCAAUGUCCAGAUAUCAAGCCAAAAUAGCUCGGAUACGAACGCUCUCAUUUUGUGCAUUAGGAGCCAGAGUUUGUGCUUUAGCGCCGAUACCCACACUCAACCAUUUCAGAAUCAGUCUCAUCCGUCACUCAUUUUGCAAAUUCCUAAUUGACAUAUUAACACUUAGACUCACAUCAGUGUGACAAGAACCAUCUAAAAUCACAGAAACUUCCAAAAAAUUAAUUAGACCUUUUGUUUGGUCUAUGUUCCAUCCAUUAACAUGGAGUAGACAGGGUUUAUUACCUAUACUGCGACCAACCACCAGGUGGCGAUUGAGAUGCUCUGGCUUCAUUUUUGGGCAGCUGACAUGUCAUCCAUCUUUAUAUAAAAAAUAGAUUCAGACACAUUUAUUGUAAUUCAACUCAACAUUGUUAUCAAAAUCCUCUUCAAGCUUCCUCUUUUUAUGGAUCAGGUAAUACUAUUCAGAGGUCACUGCAGGCAACACAGCAAACUGUCGGAUGAUAUAAUAUGUAGGUCUAACAAUUCUUGAUUGAAAUCUUAAACAAUGACGAGACCUAUGUUAUAUAUCAAUUGACUUGUGUACUUAUAUUAUCCAAAAUAUUUCAAACAAUGUUCAAUUCCCAAAAAUCUCCAAAUUUAUGCAUGGUUUCAUUUCAAGUGCCUUGUGUCAUAUCCGCGAUACCCGUGGAUUUCUCCAUCUCUGCUGUAGCUUCGAUGGAUGAUGAAGGAAAUCACUACCAGUCCAUUAACCAUAAGUUACUCAGGGAAAUUAACCAAAAAAAUGCAUUUCAUUGAAAAUAAAAAUAAAACAAAAGGAGUGAAACGUUGCAAUAAACGUGGAGUAAACCUUAUACAAGUGGAGAAAAUUCUUUGUGUGCAUUCUGCAAUCGAGGGAUCUAAAUAUCUUUUAUAUUUGUAUUUGCUUCUGUUGAUGAUUUUGUGAACUGUAUGUUCAGUACGCUUGUUGUUCAAUGUGACUCCUGCCUGGGCAAAUGUGACGGGCAUUUCGUCCUUUUCUUACGUCAAAGGAUGGUCCGAUGUUUCCUUUGCUAAAGGAGAUAAGAUAGAAGGCAACGUGAGACUCCUAGUGGACGAUUACCGGUAUAACCUAGAUCACCACAAAUGUCAGCAACAUGAGAGCAAACUCAACAACUCUCAGGGUGGAUGCACAGGGAGAAAACUAAAAGGAAAACACUCAGGAGAGCGCCCUACCCCCCCAUACCCCAACACUCACCUUAAAUUUAAAAUAAGCUGCACCAACUUGCACAGACUCAUAGAUAUCAGUCCUCCAAAAAUGUCUGAUGUUUUUCAUAAAGAUCUCUACAUUAUUUUUGGGGAAAAUCACAAACAUAAAAAUUUUUUUUCUAAUAAUCCUAUCUCGUAAUGUUAAAGAAAGAGAGAAAAAUCCUUGAUACUUAAUUGAAUCCGCUCCUCUUCCUCAGCCCAUGUUGCAUCCUGCCACCAAGUUUCAGUGAAAUCAGUUCAGUGGUUUUUGCAUAACCUUGUAAACAGACAGAGAAAACAAUGACACGCUCGAUGGGUUCGGUACCUUCUGAAGUUUAGCUGCUUAGUUAAGUGACUUUGUGUUUAUUUUACAAAGGUUUUAACGUUGACACUAUCUCAUCAUUUCUAAUUGUCGCCUCUGUUCAACAUGGACUGGCUCUUCUGUAUUUUACAUAAGUUUUAUAGAACCUGUAAAAUAUAUGUUACAACUUUCUCUGUCUGUGACCACCUUCAUGAUUAAACUUCGCACUAUA